GAUGAACGCUGACAGAAUGCUUAACACAUGCCAGUCAUUGGCGAAGCUGCGCUUGCGCAGUCUAGCCAAGGCGGACGGGUGAGUAACGCGUAAGGAACUUGCCCUGCAGACAGGGAUAACAGACGGAAACGACUGAUAACACCUGGUAUUGUCAGGCUGGCGCAUGCCGGCCUGAUGAAAGGAGACGCUGCAGGAGAGCCUUGCGUCCUAUUAGCUAGUUGGUGGGGUAACGGCCCACCAAGGCGAUGAUAGGUAGCCGGCCUGAGAGGGUGAACGGCCACAAGGGGACUGAGAUACGGCCCUUACUCCUACGGGAGGCAGCAGUGGGGAAUAUUGGACAAUGGGGGCAACCCUGAUCCAGCAAUUCUGUGUGCACGAAGAAGGUUUUCGGAUUGUAAAGUGCUUUCAGCAGGGAAGAAGAAAGUGGCGGUACCUGCAGAAGAAGCGACGGCUAAAUACGUG
rnacentral:rRNA from 1 species